AUUGAACGCUGGCGGAAUGCUUUACACAUGCAAGUCGAACGGCAGCACGGGGGCAACCCUGGUGGCGAGUGGCGAACGGGUGAGUAAUACAUCGGAACGUGCCCAGUCGUGGGGGAUAACGUAGCGAAAGUUACGCUAAUACCGCAUACGAUCUACGGAUGAAAGCGGGGGACCGUAAGGCCUCGCGCGAUUGGAGCGGCAGAUGUCAGAUUAGGUAGUUGGUGAGGUAAAGGCUCACCAAGCCGACGAUCUGUAGCUGGUCUGAGAGGACGACCAACCACACUUGGACUGAGACUCCGCCCAGAAUCCUACGGUAGGCAGCAGUGGUGAAGUUUGGACAAUGGGCGCAAGCCUGAUCCAUCCAUUACGCGUGCAGGACGAAGGCCUUCGGGUUGUAAACUGCUUUUGUACGGAACUAAAAGGCUCUUGUUAAUACCUGGGGCUCAUGACGGUACCGUAAGAAUAAGCACCGGCUAACUACGUGCCAGCCGCCGCUGUAA
rnacentral:rRNA from 1 species